rnacentral:rRNA from 1 species
UGGCUCAGAUUGAACGCUGGCGGCAUGGCUAAAACAUGCAAGUCGAACGACUAGCAAUAGAAGUGGCGAAAGGGCGAGGAAUAGAUUCCCACGUACCCCGAGGCCAGGGAUACCUCAGAGAAAUCUGAGACAAUACCUGAUGACAUCGGAAACGAUCAAAGGUUUACCACCUUGGGAGCGGGGAAUCUCCUAUCAGCUAGUUGGUGAGGUAAUGGCUCACCAAGGCGAAGACGGGUAGCGGGUGUGAGAGCACGGCCCGCCGCAUCGAGACUGAGACACUGCUCGGACUCCUACGGGAGGCUGCAGUAACGAAUCUUCCGCAAUGCACGAAAGUGUGACGGGGCAAUGCCGCGUGUGGGAUGAAGCCCUUAGGGGUGUAAACCACUGUCAGGGACUACCAACAACAUGAGGAGUCCCAAAGGAAGAGCCGGCUAACUCUGUGCCAGCAGCCGCGGUAAUACAGAGGGCUCGAGCGUUAAUCGGAAUCACUGGGCUUAAAGCGUGCGUAGGCGGAUUUGAAGGCGCUUUGUGAAAUCCCUCGGCUCAACCGAGGAACUGCUUGGCGAACCACAAAUCUUGAGGCUGGUAGAGGUGGUCGGAACAAUAGGUGGAGCGGUGAAAUGCGUAGAUAUCUAUUGGAACACCGAAGGUGAAGACAGGCCACUGGGCCAGUCCUGACGCUGAGGCACGAAAGCGUGGGUAGCAAACGGGAUUAGAUACCCCGGUAGUCCACGCCGUAAACGAUGCGCACUUGGUCGAGGGGGUUGAACGCCUUCUCGGCCGUAGGAAAACUGAUUAGUGCGCCGCCUGGGGAGUACGGUCGCAAGAUUAAAACUCAAGGAAUUGACGGGGGCUCACACAAGCGGUGGAGCAUGUGGCUUAAUUCGAAGCAGCGCGAAGAACCU